rnacentral:rRNA from 1 species
UACGAAGGGGGCUAGCGUUGCUCGGAAUCACUGGGCGUAAAGGGUGCGUAGGCGGGUCUUUAAGUCAGGGGUGAAAUCCUGGAGCUCAACUCCAGAACUGCCUUUGAUACUGAGGAUCUUGAGUUCGGGAGAGGUGAGUGGAACUGCGAGUGUAGAGGUGAAAUUCGUAGAUAUUCGGAAGAGCACCAGUGGCGAAGGCGGCUCACUGGCCCGUUACUGAUGCUCAGGCGCGACAGCGUGGGGAGCAAACAGG